AGAGCGAACGCUGGCGGCAGGCCUAACACAUGCAAGUCGAACGCCCAGCAAUGGGAGUGGCAGACGGGAUAGUAACACGUGGGAACGCGCCCUUCGGUUCGGAAUAACUCAGGGAAACUUGAGCUAAAUACCGGAUACGCCCUUACGGGGAAAGAUUUAUUGCCGAAGGAACGGCCCGCGUCGGAUUAGCUAGUUGGUGAGGUAAUGGCUCACCAAGGCGACGAUCCGUAGCUGGUCUGAGAGGAUGACCAGCAUCACUGGGACUGAGACACGGCCCAGACUCCUACGGGAGGCAGCAGUGGGGAAUAUUGGACAAUGGGCGCAAGCCUGAUCCAGCCAUGCCGCGUGGAUGAUGAAGGCCCUAGGGUUGUAAAGUCCUUUUAACGGGAAGAUAAUGACGGUACCCGUAGAAUAAGCCCGGCUAACUUCGUGCCAGCAGCCGC
rnacentral:rRNA from 1 species